UACGGAGGGUGCAAGCGUUAAUCGGAAUUACUGGGCGUAAAGCGCACGCAGGUGGCUGAGUCAGUCGAUUGUGAAAGCCCUGGGCUUAACCUGGGAAUUGCAGUCGAUACUACUCGGCUCGAGUAUGGGAGAGGGCAGUGGAGUUCCCGGUGUAGCGGUGAAAUGCGUAGAUAUCGGGAGGAACAUCAGUGGCGAAGGCGGCUGCCUGGCCCAAUACUGACACUCAGGUGCGACAGCGUGGGGAGCAAACAGG
rnacentral:rRNA from 1 species